rnacentral:rRNA from 1 species
GAUGAACGCUGGCGGCGUGCCUAAUACAUGCAAGUCGAGCGAACAGACGAGGAGCUUGCUCCUCUGACGUUAGCGGCGGACGGGUGAGUAACACGUGGAUAACCUACCUAUAAGACUGGGAUAACUUCGGGAAACCGGAGCUAAUACCGGAUAAUAUAUUGAACCGCAUGGUUCAAUAGUGAAAGACGGUUUUGCUGUCACUUAUAGAUGGAUCCGCGCCGCAUUAGCUAGUUGGUAAGGUAACGGCUUACCAAGGCAACGAUGCGUAGCCGACCUGAGAGGGUGAUCGGCCACACUGGAACUGAGACACGGUCCAGACUCCUACGGGAGGCAGCAGUAGGGAAUCUUCCGCAAUGGGCGAAAGCCUGACGGAGCAACGCCGCGUGAGUGAUGAAGGUCUUCGGAUCGUAAAGCUCUGUUAUUAGGGAAGAACAGAUGUGUACGUAACUAUGCACGUCUUGACGGUACCUGAUCAGAAAGCCACGGCUAACUACGUG